UGUUUUAUAUAGAAGUUCAUCUGGAGAAGGAUGAGAAGGUGAUGGAUGUAAAGCUGGCUCACCUUGGAGAGGAUCCUGUGAUUUGUGACAAUUUGGUUCAGCAUCUAAGGAUGAAGAACUAUGAUGCCUUUGGAAAGAUUCUAGAAGACCUGUCAAAUCUAUAUCAGAUUCCAGGAAACAGGUUGCAACUAGUUUUUACUUGCAAAAUCUUUAAAAUCCAUAGUCUAGCUUUUCUAUACUUAAAAUUCAUUUGUUUGGUUUUUUUUUUUUUCUCCUAGCGAAAUGAAAGCUAAGGGAUACCUUGCUUUGCAGUCCCUUGAGAAAGACCUUUAUUCAAUGUCUCUUUUAGACAGGUAACUUGAAGACUACCUCUUUCUCCCUUCCCCUCUACCCCCACUCCUUCAUUUCACUUAAAAAACACGAGUCGGUUGAUAUAAUUACAGAGCAGAUGUAGAAGGCUAAUGAGUUUUUUCCCACUGGAAAGCUUGAAGUCUUUCUGAAGUUUGCCAACCCCAGGCAUGCCAAACAAGAUGAUCUACUGAACUGCUGUGCUUUAUCUAAGGGACUUGCUGUGAAACUGGUUGGUUGCAGGGCUUAGGGUGCGUGUGUAUGUGACCACCCACUAAGAGCAGACAGUACAUCUUAAAUUUAGCAGUCAUUUUUGGCUCUCCCUUUGGCAGAAGUAAACAUACCUUCUGGGAUUCUGCUUUCUGGGGAUCUCACUUUCUGCUCAAGCUUUAGAUCAGGAGUAGGAAGUACUAGCCUUCUCUCUAUCCUUCCUUUUCUCACUUCUCCUGUCAAGGAGUAGGAUUACAGAUAAAUGGGGGACAGACUUCCCUAAAUCCUCCAGCAAUUGUUCAAUGACUUUCAUUCUCUCCAGAACAGCAGAGCUGAGGGCAUUGCUUUCCUUCUUGAUUCUGAAGUGUCUUUUCUGAUAUUUUGCCUAUUAAGUAUUCUCAGCAAGCAUGGGCUUCUGUAACUUAAGACACACCCUUGGCCUAUUUUUUGUAUGGUGUUCCCUUAUGAAGCAUGUCAGGUCCAUGAACAAAGGUACUACGUCCUUGCUAAUCACAGAUUUCUCAGUAAAUGUUAUUCAUCAGUUAAAUAAAUCAUUUUCCCCUUCUAUUGAUACA
rnacentral:lncRNA from 1 species